rnacentral:rRNA from 1 species
UGGGGAAGCUUGCACAAUGGGCGGAAGCCUGAUGCAGCGACGCCGCGUGGGGGAUGACGGCCUUCGGGUUGUAAACUCCUUUCGCCAGGGACGAAGCCGUGAGGUGACGGUACCUGGAUAAGAAGCACCGGCUAACUACGUGCCAGCAGCCGCGGUAAUACGUAGGGUGCGAGCGUUGUCCGGAAUUACUGGGCGUAAAGAGCUCGUAGGUGGUUUGUCGCGUCGUCUGUGAAAUUCCGGGGCUUAACUCCGGGCGUGCAGGCGAUACGGGCCUAACUUGAGUGCUGUAGGGGAGACUGGAAUUCCUGGUGUAGCGGUGAAAUGCGCAGAUAUCAGGAGGAACACCGAUGGCGAAGGCAGGUCUCUGGGCAGUAACUGACGCGGAGGAGCGAAAGCAUGGGUAGCGAACAGG